rnacentral:lncRNA from 1 species
UUAAUUCCAAGCUACUACCCUAAUCCCUCAUUUCCCAUCUCUCAGUUGCCAUUGAAAACCUCUCGUCUCUCAAAGUCUCUCAAACUGCGAAACCCAAGCCUCCUUCUACACGCUUCAACCACCACUCCACCUUAAUCCAUGGCUUCCCAGGCCAUGGAUGCUUUGUACUCACUCCCCUUCACCAGCAAGCCAUGGUUGUUCGAAGCUUCGAGACCUGACCUCAAUGGUUCUCUCCAAGACCUUUUCAGAUAUGUAGAUCUAUGGCUUCUUCGUCUAUUACUCUGGCAUAUUUGAGCAAUAUGAGUCUUUUCGACUCAUGAUCUGAAUUUCCUCAAGACCUUUCUCAUUUUUAGGGGUUUCUCCAUAAUCGUAAGUUCUCCGAGGUUGUUUACUUGCUCAUUUUCUUAGAUCCAGAAAAUAUCUGUGUUCUAUCAAACUUUUUAAGGGUUUUCCCCAAGCUCUCUUUUCAAAAUCAUUUAAUUUCGAUUUAGGGUUUCUUAAAGGUUUUUCAAAAGUAUCUUUCUGAUUCUUCUUUACGUGUGUUUGUCUGACUUCUUUUACUAGCAUGUAUUGUUCUUCCGCUUUCUUUUUCUACUCUACAUGUUAUUCCUGCACUCACAAGUUAAUCUGUGAUGUUUUCUUUAUUCAUUGCUAUAUGUGUUUAUGGUUGAGUUCUCUGAUUUUGUUUACUUUAACAGGACUCUGUUUGUGUUCUUGCCAAGCAUAUUUCAUCUACGUUUGUUAAGGUCAUAUCAUCUCUUUCUUCUAAACUUGUUUAAUUUUUGAGUUUUCUCAAACAUGUUCUCAUGACUUUGAAUCAGUUUUAUUUCUAUCAUGUAUGUUAGUUUUUUUAUACGUCUUUGGAAAAGACUUUUGAGCAUCUCUCAAGUGGCUUGACUUCUCAUCUCUAUUGUCUGACUCAAUUCAGAACCCUAGGAUUUGGGGAUUUUUGGAAAUUUUUAUUUCUUG